CUGUGCAUCACAGGUCUUGGUCGCCAAUGCAUGUGUGCGGAAUAAAAUAAAUAUAUUCGUUCAAUACGUAUUUUUUAACUUUGAAGUUCAUUUCGUUUCAGAAAAAAAAAUCUGGUGAUUUUCAUAAUGAUGCUUGAGGAAAUAUGCUAACAUAUUGAUUGGAUGGUCGUACUUCUGCCGAUGACUAAUUAUCGACGUGGAAUGAGAAAAAAAAAAUAUUAAUGAUGAUUGUGAUUAUGACGGUAGCGAUGAAUAUUUUAAUAGUGACGAUUAAUACAGAUUUUAAAGUUGUGUGUAGUCUAUUUGAGUUUCUGUGAAUUGUGGUUAAAAUUGAUUGUUACUACAAUAUACUAUAAUGACAAAUGAUGGUGAUAAAAUACAGUGAUGACGAUUAACGAUAAUAAAAUGGUGUGUCUAAACUUGCAAAGGUAAGUUGUGAGAUAAUGUUUGAAUGUCUGAAAAUUUUCAAGGCGACUUGGUGGGGUUGUGAAAUGACGUGAUGUGAAGCUAGAAUAUAUUCACAGGCAAUAUCUAUACAUUAUAUUGUGUUUUCAUUUCAGAAAAAGAAAAAAAAAACAUAUUUUGAUAAUGCGUGUGAAUUUCCAAAUAAAUCAAACCAAUUUGCUAGGUGGAGUAGUGCCUCUUCUGACGGAGAACUGUAGACACAAUGUGCUCAUGGGGACGAUGAUAACGGUGAUGAAGAUAACGAGUGGUGUAAUGAUGGCGAUAUAGAUGAUACAGUGAUGAUAAAAACGAUAGUGAUGAUGACAUGGUAGACCUAUACUUGAAGAUUAGGUACCCGUAGUCGAUACGCAAGGCAUUAAGUGAUUGUGGACUGUCCUUCGACCUGACUGGAAUGUAGUGUGAUCGAUUUAAAAACAAGGAAAUAUGUGGACGUCGAUGGUUAAUAAUGAUGGUAUGGUAAUGGACGCUAUGAUAUUAAUAACGAAAGCUGAUUAUGCUAAGGAAUUCAGAACUGUGAUUAAGCUAAUACCAGCAUUGACCCAGGAAGCGAAUUUUAUCUGGUUUAUCAGCAGAAUCACAUCCGUUCAGAUGGAAUGAGCCAAUCUGGUCGAAUUAAUUUAGAGAUGCCGAGUAUUUUUGCAAAUGUUAAAGAACACAGAACAUACAAUUUGAUAUUAUGGUUAAGGCUAUUCGUCAUUGCAGUUGGUAACUAUAAUAAUAAAAUAUAGGCUAUGUAAUAAUAAUAAUAUUAAUAAUAAUAAUGACGACGACGAGAUAUAAAAAAAGUCUACAUUUAAAAUAAUAACAACCGUACGAAUACAGUAUUCAUCAAUACAAUUACUUCUUUGUUCGUUUUCUAUAUUUGUCAUCCUAUUUGUUGUUGCUUGUUUCGUACAUUACUGUUUCAUAUCACUUUCAUCAUUUCAUUUCGCCCUAACCUAGUCCAUCCUCUCUCAUAUCUAAACUCAAUUUGGCCUAUAGAUUUAUUUUAGAUAGUCAGGUUAGCUAGGUCUUAGUUGUAGAGUAGGUAAGAUGUAGAUUAAGUAUUAGCUAGGUUAAAGAAAGUAGAUUAACAUCCUAAAUGAGAGAGGAAUGGGAAAAACAUUAACCUCCAUCAUUAACAUCAAUUCAAUGUAUCCUAUUAUUUCAUUACUGUAUUGUAUUACAGACAUCGCUCUUCACAAUGUGUUCGUCCAAUCAGAUGAUGUUAUAAAAAUACUACUGAUCAAUAAAAUUUACCACAUAAAAUAAAGACACAAAAAUAACUAUAAAUGUAAAAGUAUAACAAUUGCAAUGACAUGUGCUAAAAUAAUUUUUUGUGGUAAGUUAAACUGUUAUCAUUUGCUAUAUACUGUAUUCAGUUGUGAUGUUGAUGCGAAUAAAAAUGAUAAAUAAGCAGGACUGGUUAAUGCUUGAUUGUAUACAGUCUGUCACACCGGCAUUAUGAGCAUAUAUUGAACGAUGGAUGUUAAACCUAUACCUAAACUUAAAAAACCUUGAAUGACUUGUCAUAUUUUUUUAUUUCUUGACCACAGCGAGUUAAUGUAUUAACAUAACGUCAACAGGCAGUAGUUUAAUUAUUGGAUACUUUAUCAACUUUCCAGUUUAUUUUAUAUAUCAAGUAGUUUUGAAACAAACGUGCUCAUGAUUGUACAUAUAGUAUAUAUUUCACCACACGUUCAGUGCCGUAGAAAAUCUUGUAUUCCCAACUUCAUUCACAUUUAUAAUGAUAAAGUUAAUAGAUAAUUCUGGUUUUAAGUGCAAUUUUGGCCUAAUUUAAUUAAGUUUAAUGUGUAAUAUUGUUUAAUAAUGUUUAAUAUUCUUUGUA
rnacentral:lncRNA from 1 species